CCGCGAAUGUGCGAGUGUGUGUGCGCCAGUUGGUUGGUGUGCGAUGUUUGCCUGUGUUUGCGUGGAAGCGGGCACCGCCAACGAAACGGAACCGAAAAUCGCAUCGAGAGAGCAAGAGCAGCGCACCCAAACUGAGCCACAGUGGGCCGAAAGCACUUGAUAAUCUUGCGACGCAGAACUGAUGUUUGACGCUGAGUAACGCUGGACUUUCAAUAGUAUUUAUUUUAUUCAUUGAACUAAAAUGGCUUAUUCAAAACAUCAUGAAAGUUAGCACUAGUAUUAUGUGUUAUUCAUAUUCCAAAGGGAGAAACUAAUUUUUUGAAUUUGCGUUUAAUGUGUAAUGCCAGUUUUCAAAAGUCGUAAAAUCUGAAUCAUUCUGCACCUAAGUCAUAUUUUAAGUUAAACACUGAAAGAUAACUACUUGACAAUCGAGAAUGCAGCGUUGGAAACCAAACCCAACAACUAUAAAAGUAACAAAAACGCAAAGACCAUAUCUAAAACCAUACGUUUUGGUCUCACUAUGCAGCGUCGACGUUGCGUGCAUUUGGAGAAAAGUGGGGGCUGCACACCAAUACCAAUACAACGCACUGGCACAUGCAGCAAACACACACACACUCGCGCAAACAUACGGACGGACUAGUACAUAGGCAGCCUCACACACAUUGGCUGGCGUUGUUGUUGUCGAUUCGUUGGUGUUCCCGCUUUCGCUGCACUUGUGUGUGUGUGUGAGAGUGUGUGUUGCCGGUUGCAGUCGCCUCGCAACUUGUCCGGGUUCGAGUUGCAGUGCGCUCGACUUAGUCUUAGUUUCGUCUUCCGCCUCUUAAUUGCUUUUUUGCACUUCUGCUCGCCCGCUUGUGCUGCGAAUUUUAUUGCAUUUGUUUUGGUUAUUUCUUCGUUCUAAAGGGCGUGUGAGUGAUGUGGAUAUUUGUGGACGGCACUCGGGUGUUAUAGGCUUUUGGAGGCCUCUGCAACUACCUAACAAAGGAGCUCCAAUCUUUUUGUACAGUCGAUAACAACUACACACGAUGACACGGCUUCAAAUGGGCUAUUGGAAAUACUUGUUUCAGAGAAGCUGAAUGCUGCAACCCUGACUGGCGCGAAAAUUGAAUAGUUUGCUAAGGAAAACUCACCAGGAGCUGGAAGCGUGACGGAGCUCUGCAAUAUUGUUAUUACUAAAAACGCUAAGAUAUUUUAGUGAACUGAACUUACUUUGCUGGCGCCUCCAAAAAAUUUCAAGCGCGAUAAUAGAUGCAUGGCAAAAGUUUGUUCCUGAGUUGGUAAGAAAUAUAUUUAUUUAAAUGAAAACAUAGAGAGAUCGCUGUAGUCGAGUUCCCCGACUAUCCGAAUUAGUAAAUAAAAUAAGUCAAUUCGUCAAGUAACAUUGUAA